ensembl:lncRNA
AUGCAGAGUGUAUGCAGACCAACGGUCCAAACUGAGUCUUCUGUCUUGCUGCAUCUGAGAUGGCCAGCUGACCAACUGAAGUAUCGGCCUCAGCUACUAAGAAAAGUGAUUAUAUGCAGUUCUUCACACCAGUAUAUUUUUAAGUACGACAGAAGCCUUCACCACUGUUGAAGGACUGCUCUGUACAUGCAUUCUUUUAUGGAAGAGCUCUUGACUAAGAUCUCAGUAUUUCAGAAUCAGUGUAAUGAAAGUGUUUCCUUUGACUUCAGCUUUCUGUCUUCAAAAAACUACUUAACUAGACUUGAAAAACUGCAAAGAUUCAGAGUAAGGGUAACAUACUCGUCUUACGACACAUAAUCUCAUUUUAUUUAAUUUUAAGGAUAUCUGAAUUUUGCAGCUAGAGUCAUUCUUCAAGAAAAUUCAACAUUUUUGAAAGCUGUUGGUUUUCCCAAAGAAUUCAGGAAUUAGAAAAGUAUGCUUUGUUACAAGGUUAUUAGACAAAUGUACCUGUAGUGACUUUUAUACAGGUAUAUACAAGAGAAAAUACAAGAGGAUCUUCAGCUACAUUUGGAUGAGCUAGUUUGGAUUAAAAUACAUCUCCUCUGAAUUUGAAUGAAGUAGAAACAUAUGUUUAUGAGUUCAUGAAGUUUAAAAUCCCAUUCAUAGGAUUCAAAAGGCCAAAAUAGAAAAUAGAUAUUGGUCUACCAUUGGCAUUUCAUAACAUUUCAGUUUGCCAUGUCUUUAAUUAGUAGCAUUUCCAGAAAGUCAAAAGAGUUAUUUAUGGCAAAGUAUGUAAGUAUCUAGUUGUUUUGCUUUCUUCCACUUGAUAUGAAUUCAUAACACAAUGUGAAUUAUUUAAUGCUAGUUUAUUAUAAUGUUGGAAAAGUUAUAUGUAUGAGAACCGCUUAAAUGUUUCUGCGUUUGGAAAGUUCUGGAAAAUUGAAAAAAAAAAAAUAAAUUAAUGCCAGUGCUUCUUAAAUCUAGGUCCUCCAUCUUGUUUCUGUUAGCCACGAUCUAUAUCUAUUUAAAUUUCAUGCAGACGUAGGAAACUAAAAUUAUUAAAUAUGAAAAAUAAUUUUUGAAAUUAAUAUCAUUUCCUGCUUUAUUGAAAGAGCUUUUUCGUGAUCCAUCUGUAGUGGGGCAUCAUUUGCCUUCCAGCCUUCCUGCCUCUUUUGACCAGUAACUAGUAAAGUGUCAGAAUAGCAUAAUAGCAAAAUUUUGCCAAACUACUCUCUUAGUCCCUAGUGAAAGAUCCGUGGCCAAAGGUAUCCCUGUGUUUACAAACCUUAAUAGAUCUUGUGCUAUUUAGACUCAAACCCAAUCCAUUGAUACAUGAGAUCCAUUUCUCCUUAUUAGUAGUUGAAAGAAAUUGCCUUAAGACCAGUGAUUAAAGUAUUUCCACCUUUACCUUACACUAGUCACUAAAGAUGAUUUUAUUAAUGUUUUCAAAUAUAUCCUGAAGUGGAAGGUCUAUGAAUAGAACGUAUAAAAAGUGAGAGGAAUGUUAAUGUGCUAAGACCCUGAAAUUAGCUAAAGGCUAAGGGAUUCAAGGAACCUGCUCAAAAAGACCAGACUUGAUUGAUAGUAGAUAGGAGAAUUUUACAUGACAUCCUAAACAUGAAGUAAAAAAAAAAAAGAAUAAAUAAAGAACUGUGAAAUACAAAAUCAUACAGGAUGCCUGUUCUAUAGUUUUGCAA